rnacentral:ncRNA from 1 species
UGACCUACCUUACAAGUCGUUAAACUGUAAAGGCAAUAGACUAAGCGACAGUCGUAAAACAGCGUA